rfam:Lupinus angustifolius cultivar Tanjil chromosome LG07, whole genome shotgun sequence.
AACUCAUGGUUGGGACACUUCCUCAGCAACAUCUGGAAACGCUCCCAUGCCUCAUAAAAAGCUUCCUCAACACCUUGUCUAAAUGUUGAGAUUUCGAACUUUGCAUGC